rnacentral:rRNA from 1 species
GAUGAACGCUGGCGGCGUGCUUAACACAUGCAAGUCGAACGGAAAGGCCCAAGCUUUCUUGGGUACUCGAGUGGCGAACGGGUGAGUAACACGUGGGUGAUCUGCCCUUCACUUCGGGAUAAGCCUGGGAAACUGGGGCUAAUACCGGAUAGGACCUCAUUUUGGAUGGUGUGGUGGAGAGAUUUUCGGUGUUGGAUGAGCUCGUGGCCUAUCAGCUGGUUGGUGGGGUAAUGGCAUACCAAGGCGUCGACGGGUAGCCGGCCUGAGAGGGUGUACGGCCACAUUGGGACUGAGAUACGGCCCAGACUCCUACGGGAGGCAGCAGUGGGGAAUAUUGCACAAUGGGCGCAAGCCUGAUGCAGCGACGCCGCGUGGGGGAUGACGGCCUUCGGGUUGUAAACUGCUUUCGCUAGGGACGAAGCGCAAGUGACGGUACCUGGUGAAGAAGCACCGGCUAACUACGUG